rnacentral:rRNA from 1 species
GCUUGACUGUAUCUUGGAAUUGGGUUCGGGCUUUUCUUGCGCAGUCUAGGUGGGAGGCUAUGAAGAUUUCCUUCUGGGAAAGUUGGAGCCAUCAGUGAGAGACCACUCUGGAAAGGCUAGAAUCCUAAUGGUGAUCCUUGAAUCAGGACACUUGACAGUUUCAGGUGGGCAGUUUUUCUGGGCGGAAGCCUCAUAAAAGGUAACUGAGGCGCGCAAAGGUCCCCUCAGUCUGGACGGAAAUCAGACGUUGAGUGUAAAGGCAAAAGGGGGCUUGACUGCAAGACCCACAAGUCGAGCAGGGGCGAAAGCUGGCCUUAGUGAUCCGACGGUGCCGUGUGGAAGGGCCGUCGCUCAACGAAUAAAAGUUA